CCUACGGGAGGCAGCAGUGAGGAAUAUUGGUCAAUGGACGAAAGUCUGAACCAGCCAUGCCGCGUGCAGGAAGACGGCUCUAUGAGUUGUAACCUGCUUUUGUACAAGGGUAAACCUGAAUACGUGUAUUCAGCUGAAAGUACUGUACGAAUAAGGAUCGGCUAACUCCGUGCCAGAAGCCGCGGUAAUACGGAGGAUCCAAGCGUUAUCCGGAUUUAUGGGGGUUAAGGGGUGCGUAGGCGGAUUGAUAAGUUAGAGGUGAAAUGUCCGGGCUAAACUCGGGAACUGCCUCUAAUACUGUUGAUCUAGAGAGUAGAUGCGGUAGGCGGAAUGUAUGGUGUAGCGGUGAAAUGCUUAGAGAUCAUACAGAACACCGAUUGCGAAGGCAGCUUACCAAUCUAUAUCUGACGUUGAGGCACGAAAGCGUGGGGAGCAAACAGGAUUAGAUACCCCAGUAGUC
rnacentral:rRNA from 1 species